AAGUCGUAACGAGGUCUCCGUAGGUGAACCUGCGGAGGGAUCAUUACAAGAGUGAGGGCCCUCGUGGCCCGAACCUCCAACCCCAUGUCUACCGACUCUGUUGCCUCGGGGGCGACCCGGCCCUCACGGGCGUCGGGGCCCCCGGUGGUCCACCUCAACCCUGCAUCUGUGCGUCUGAGUAAAUAUUUGAAUCAAUCAAAACUUUCAACGACGGAUCUCUUGGUUCUGGCAUCGAUGAAGAACGCAGCGAAAUGCGAUAAGUAAUGUGAAUUGCAGAAUUCAGUGAAUCAUCGAAUCUUUGAACGCACAUUGCGCCCCUCGGUAUUCCGGGGGGCAUGCCUGUUCGAGCGUCAUUACACCACUCAAGCCUCGCUUGGUCUUGGGCGCCGCGGUUCCGCCGCGCGCCCCAAUGUCUCCGGCUGAGCCGUCCGUCUCUAAGCGUUGUGAUAAACUGUUCGCUUGCGAGGCCGGGCCGGCUUGUUCGCCGUAAAACCCCCCAAUUUUUCAGGUUGACCUCGGAUCAGGUAGGGAUACCCGCUGAACUUAA
rnacentral:rRNA from 1 species